AACGUAGGACGCAAGCGUUAUCCGGAGUUACUGGGCGUAAAGGGCAGGUAGGCGGGCCACUAAGUUGGGUGUGAAAUCUCCCAGGCUUAACCGGGAGGGUGCAUUCAAGACUGGUGGUCUGGAGGGCAGCAGAGGAGCGUGGAAUUCCGGGUGGAGUGGUGAAAUGCGUAGAGAUCCGGAGGAACACCAGAGGCGAAAGCGGGGCUCUGGGCUGCACCUGACGCUGAACUGCGAAAGCCAGGGGAGCGAACGGG
rnacentral:rRNA from 1 species